rnacentral:rRNA from 1 species
UCGAGGGGUAUAUACUUUCGGGUAUAGAGACCGGCGCACGGGUGCGUAACGCGUAUGCAAUCUACCUUUUACAGGGGAAUAGCCCAGAGAAAUUUGGAUUAAUGCCCCAUAGUAUAUUCGAAUGGCAUCAUUUGAUUAUUAAAGUUCCAACGGUAAAAGAUGAGCAUGCGUCCCAUUAGUUAGUUGGUAAGGUAACGGCUUACCAAGACGAUGAUGGGUAGGGGUCCUGAGAGGGAGAUCCCCCACACUGGUACUGAGACACGGACCAGACUCCUACGGGAGGCAGCAGUGAGGAAUAUUGGACAAUGGGCGCAAGCCUGAUCCAGCCAUGCCGCGUGCAGGAAGAAGCAUCUAUGGUGUGUAAACUGCUUUUAUACAGGAAGAAACACUCCCUCGUGAGGGAGCUUGACGGUACUGUAGGAAUAAGGACCGGCUAACUCCGUGCCAGCAGCCGCGGUAAUACGGAGGGUCCGAGCGUUAUCCGGAAUCAUUGGGUUUAAAGGGUCCGUAGGCGGUUUAAUAAGUCAGUGGUGAAAUCUGGUCGCUCAACGAUCAAACGGCCAUUGAUACUGUUAGACUUGAAUUACUGGGAAGUAACUAGAAUAUGUAGUGUAGCGGUGAAAUGCUUAGAUAUUACAUGGAAUACCAAUUGCGAAGGCAGGUUACUACCAGUGGAUUGACGCUGAUGGACGAAAGCGUGGGGAGCGAACAGGAUUAGAUACCCUGGUAGUCCACGCCGUANACGAUGGAUACUAGCUGUUGGGGNCAACCUCAGUGGCUAAGCGAAAGUGAUAAGUAUCCCACCUGGGGAGUAC